CGCGGUGGUCCCACCUGACCCCAUGCCGAACUCAGAAGUGAAACGCCGUAGCGCCGAUGGUAGUGUGGGGUCUCCCCAUGUGAGAGUAGGGAACUGCCAGGC
rnacentral:rRNA from 23 species